ensembl:snRNA U6 U6 spliceosomal RNA
GUACUUGCUUUGGCAGCACAUAUACUAAAAUUGGAACGAUACAGAGAAGAUUAGCAUGGCCCCUGUGCAAGGAUGACAUGCAAAUUUGUGAAGCAUUCCAUAUUUAA